AAAAAGGUCCACUUCUGGCAGUGAAUCGAGGUGACAACAGGCAGGAGGCUGCUUGGUCAUCAGUACAAGCUGCUCUUAAAGGGACACCAGGAGCUUCUCUGUUUCUCUGGAAGGCUGGAAGCACAGGCCUGAUCUUGAGUGUCUGAAAGAACAGCAACUAAUGGUGUCCAAGACCAAGAGACCCUUGAGGAGCUUGUCCUUGACUGUCACAUUCUUUUUGUAAGGUAAGAGGACCUGAGAUCAUAUAUUUGAAGUGGGGAGGGAGAGGGAGAGGGAGAGGGA
rnacentral:lncRNA from 1 species